AUCUCCUUACAGUAAGGUCACUAAUUCACUUUAUUGCUCAUACUCUAUUUAUUAUAUAUAGAUACCACUACCAUCGCCAAAACAACAACAACUACACCAACUACAACUAUGACAAUAGCUGGCAUGAUCUUGAGAAAAGGAAGAAUUUUCUCUGGAGGAAAUGAGACAAAAGUGCAUAAAGGACACUGAUAUGAUUAAACAAGGAAAGGUAAGGAGAAAAACCAACAUAUAAACAAACGAACAAAAAACCAAAAAGAACAAUCUUAAAGU
ensembl:lncRNA